CACUAUGCCUAGCCAUAAACAUUGAUAGUAAACUACACGCACUAUCCGCCCGGGGACUACGAGCAUCAGCUUGAAACCCAAAGGACUUGGCGGUGCUUUAGAUCCACCUAGAGGAGCCUGUUCUAGAACCGAUUACCCCCGUUCAACCUCACCUUUUCUUGUUUUCCCCGCCUAUAUACCACCGUCGUCAGCUUACCCUGUGAAGGACUCAUAGUAAGCAAGAUUGGCACAGCCCAAAACGUCAGGUCGAGGUGUAGCGUAUGGAAAGGGAAGAAAUGGGCUACAUUCACUAAUAUAGUGAAACACGAACGAUACACUGAAAUACGUAUCUGAAGGAGGAUUUAGCAGUAAGCAGAAAAUAGAGCGUUCCGCUGAAACUGGCCCUGAAGCGCGCACACACCGCCCGUCACUCUCCCCAAGCUUACUAGCCUUAAAUACCUAAAGCCUAAAA
rnacentral:rRNA from 1 species